AUUGCACGCUAGCGGGAUGCCUUACACAUGCAAGUCGAACGGAGUGGCGAACGGGUGAGUAAUGUAUCGGAACGUGCCCAGUAGCGGGGGAUAACUACGCGAAAGCGUAGCUAAUACCGCAUACUAUUGGAGCGGCCGAUAUCGGAUUCGCUAGUUGGUGGGGGAACGGCUCACCAAGGCGACGAUCCGUAGCUGGUGUGAGAGGACGACCCGACACCAUGUGACUGAGACACGGCCCAUACUCCUACGGGAGUCAGCAGGGGUGAAUUUUGGACAAUGGGGGAAACCCUGAUCCAGCCAGCCCGCGUGGGCGAUGAAGGCUUUCGGGUUGGAAAGCACUUUUGGCAGGAAAGCGGUACCUGCAGAAUAAGCACCGGCUAACUACGUGCCAGCAGCCGCGGUAAUAC
rnacentral:rRNA from 1 species